rnacentral:rRNA from 1 species
UGGGGAAUAUUGGACAAUGGGCGCAAGCCUGAUCCAGCCAUGCCGCGUGUGUGAAGAAGGCCUUUUGGUUGUAAAGCACUUUAAGCGAGGAGGAGGCUACUUGGAUUAAUACUCUAGGAUAGUGGACGUUACUCGCAGAAUAAGCACCGGCUAACUCUGUGCCAGCAGCCGCGGUAAUACAGAGGGUGCGAGCGUUAAUCGGAUUUACUGGGCGAAAAGCGUGCGUAGGCGGCUUCUUAAGUCGGAUGUGAAAUCCCUGAGCUUAACUAAGGAAAUGCAUUCGAUACUGGGCAGAUAGAGUAUGGGAGAGGAUGGUAGAAAUCCAGGUGUAGCGGUGAAAUGCGUAGAGAUCUGGAGGAAUACCGAUGGCGAAGGCAGCCAUAUGGACUAAUACUGACACUGAGGUACGAAAGCAUGGGGAGCAAACAGG